rnacentral:rRNA from 1 species
CAGCCGCCGCGGUAAUACCGGCGGCCCGAGUGGCGGUCACUAUUAUUGGGCUUAAAGCGUCCGUAGCCGGGGUGGGAAGUCCUCCGGGAAAUCUGGCCGCUUAACGGUCAGAAUGCCGGAGGAUACUCCCAGCCUAGGGAGCGGGAGAGGCCGAGGGUAUUCCCGGAGUAGGGGUGAAAUCCUAUAAUCCCGGGAGGACCACCUGUGGCGAAGGCGCUCGGCUGGGACGCGUCCGACGGUGAGGGACGAAGGCCAGGGGAGCAAACCGGAUUAGAUACCCGGGUAGUCCUGGCUGUAAACGAUGCGGACUUUGUGUCGGACAAGCUAUGAGCUUGUCCGGUGCCGGAGGGAAACCGUUAAGUCCGCCGCCUGGGGAGUACGGCCGCAAGGCUGAAACUUAAAGGAAUUGGCGGG